GAUGAACGCUGGCGGCGUGCCUAAUACAUGCAAGUCGAGCGAACAGACGAGGAGCUUGCUCCUCUGACGUUAGCGGCGGACGGGUGAGUAACACGUGGAUAACCUACCUAUAAGACUGGGAUAACUUCGAGAAACCGGAGCUAAUACCGGAUAAUAUAUUGAACAGCAUGGUUCCAUAGUGAAAGACGGUUUUGCUGUCACUUAUAGAUGGAUCCGCGCCGCAUUAGCUAGUUGGUAAGGUAAAGGCUUACCAAGGCAACGAUGCGUAGCCGACCUGAGAGGGUGAUCGGCCACACUGGAACUGAGACACGUUCCAGACUCCUACGGGAGGCAGCAGUAGGGAAUCUUCCGCAAUGGGCGAAAGCCUGACGGAGCAACGCCGCGUGAGUGAUGAAGGUCUUCGGAUCGUAAAACUCUGUUAUUAGGGAAGAACAAAUGUGUAAGUAACUAUGCACGUCUUGACGGUACCUAAUCAGAAAGCCACGGCUAACUACGUG
rnacentral:rRNA from 1 species